UACAGAGGUCCCAAGCGUUGUUCGGAUUCACUGGGCGUAAAGGGUGCGUAGGUGGUCGGGUAAGUCUGAUGUGAAAUCUCCGAGCUUAACUCGGAAAUGGCAUUGGAUACUAUUCGGCUAGAGGGUUUGAGGGGGGACUGGAGUACUUGGUGUAGCAGUGAAAUGCGUAGAUAUCAAGUGGAACACCAGUGGCGAAGGCGAGUCCCUGGAAAACUCCUGACACUGAGGCACGAAAGCUAGGGGAGCAAACAGG
rnacentral:rRNA from 1 species